rnacentral:rRNA from 1 species
GACGUAGGGCGCGAGCGUUGUCCGGAUUUAUUGGGCGUAAAGAGCUCGUAGGCGGCUUGUCGCGUCGUGUGUGAAAUCUCAGGGCUCAACUCUGACAUUGCAUACGAUACGGGCAGGCUUGAGUUCGGUAGGGGAGACUGGAAUUCCUGGUGUAGCGGUGAAAUGCGCAGAUAUCAGGAGGAACACCGGUGGCGAAGGCAGCUCGCUGGGACGGAACUGACGCUAAGGCGCGAAAGCGUGGGGAGCGAACAGG